GACGAACGCUGGCGGCGUGCUUAACACAUGCAAGUCGAACGGAAAGGCCUGCUUUCCCUUGUGGAUUGCGGGUACUCGAGUGGCGAACGGGUGAGUAACACGUGAGUGAUCUGCCCCCAACUUGGGUAUAAGCCUGGGAAACUGGGUCUAAUUCCCGAUAGGACUGCAGGGUGGUGCCUGUGGUGGAAAACGAUUUUCUAGUGGUUGGGGAUGAGCUCGCGGCCUAUCAGCUUGUUGGUGGGGUAAUGGCCUACCAAGGCGGCGACGGGUAGCCGGCCUGAGAUGGUGGACGGCCACAUUGGGACUGAGAUACGGCCCAGACUCCUACGGGAGGCAGCAGUGGGGAAUAUUGCACGAUGGGCGGAAGCCUGAUGCAGCGACGCCGCGUGGGGGAUGACGGCCUUCGGGUUGUAAACUCCUUUCGACCGCGAGGAAGCCACCUGGUUGGAAGGGUGGUGACGGUAGUGGUAGAAGAAGCACCGGCUAACUACGUG
rnacentral:rRNA from 1 species